UCAGCUCNGUACUCCGAAUGCAUCUAGUAUUUAUGAGUUUGAUCAUGGCUCAGAAUCAACGCUGGCGGCGUGCCUAACACAUGCGAGUCGAACGAGAAAGUCCGCAAGGGAUGAGUAAAGUGGCGAACGGGUGAGUAACACGUGACUACCUACCCUCGAGUUGGGGUGAUAACCCCGGGUAAACCUGGNGGCUAAUACCGCAUAAUCUCGCAGGAGCAUAUAUGCUGCAAGCAGCUUGAGGAGUGGGGUCUGCUGGCUGAGUUAGCUAGUUGGUUGAUGGUAACUGGCUUCACCUAGANGGGGCGAAUGAUCAAGUAUGCCUGGUCCUUGAAGAUGGGCUGCACAGGCCGACANCUUGGAACUUUGAAANCAGCUGGGUGUACGACGAAGAUGAAAGCCUUCC
rnacentral:rRNA from 1 species